UCAGCCUGCCCAGUGACAAAGUUUAACGGCCGCGGUACCCUAACCGUGCGAAGGUAGCAUAAUCACUUGUUCUUUAAAUGAGGACUCGUAUCAACGGCACUACGAGGGCUAUACUGUCUCCUUUUUCCAAUCAGUGAAACUGAUCUCCCCGUGAAGAAGCGGGGAUGAGAAUAUAAGACGAGAAGACCCCAUGGAGCUUUAAACUCACCAUGCACCUCUAUGCCCUUGUAUCACUAGACAUAAGACACCUGCAUGAUGGUUUUAGGUUGGGGGGACCACGGAGUAUAAUAUAACCUCCACAACAAAUGGGCUAACACCCUUAUCCACGAGACACAACUCUAAGAAUUAUUAAACUAAUGCUUAUGACCCGAUAUUCGAUCAAUGAACCAAGUUACCCUGGGGAUAACAGCGCAAUCUACUUCAAGAGCCCAUAUCGACAAGUAGGUUUACGACCUCGAUGUUGGAUCAGGGUAUCCCGGUGGUGCAGCCGCUACCAAUGGUUCGUUUGUUCAACGAUUAAAACCCUACGUGA
rnacentral:rRNA from 1 species